rnacentral:rRNA from 1 species
CAGCCGCCGCGGUAAUACGAAGGGGGCUAGCGUUGUUCGGAUUUACUGGGCGUAAAGCGCACGUAGGCGGAUCGAUCAGUCAGGGGUGAAAUCCCAGAGCUCAACUCUGGAACUGCCUUUGAUACUGUCGAUCUGGAGUAUGGGAGAGGUGAGUGGAAUUCCGAGUGUAGAGGUGAAAUUCGUAGAUAUUCGGAGGAACACCAGUGGCGAAGGCGGCUCACUGGUCCAUUACUGACGCUGAGGUGCGAAAGCGUGGGGAGCAAACAGGAUUAGAUACCCGUGUAGUCCCUGUCUCUUAUAC